AUUGUUCCUAGAGGCAUUGUAGAUGUGCCUGCUGUGUUACAUGUGCAUCAGUAGGUGGCAGAAAAGAGACAGGCUAUGUCUUCAUUCGCUGUUCUGACGUAUGAACAUUUGAAUGAUUAGUAGCCUAACACU
rnacentral:snoRNA from 1 species